AUUCGGGUGGCCGGAAGCGCCGCUACCCCGAGUCCUCCUGUGAAUGGAGAGCCCGGUGAACCGGCAGUAUACCUGGACCGAAAGCCCCAUUUGCCUCCUCACCACUUGGAGCUGACCGACGGCAGCCCCACCUCACCCUCACUUCAGCAUCCAGAGCCAAGGAUUGGGUCUUGGACAGACUGCACCCAAUGAAGGCGGGAGAUGGAGAAGCGGGUCCUGGAGACCCCCCCAGACUUUCUGGGGUUCAGUCUAUCUCAACUGAGGAUACACCCUGAGGAGCCUGAGGUCCCAGAAGAAGAGGAUGCCCAAAACUGUAGGAGUUGUGGUCAGGUCCAGUGACUGUUCCCUCCAGAAGGCUUUCACCCUGCUGGGUUGUCUUGAUCAUUUGCUGCCCUGCUUUUAACAUCCUGCCUGUAAACUGAAUAAAUAGAGGUAAGCUUUCUCAUCAGAUCACAAGAUCGAUAGCCCUUUCCCUCAUGAUGGAAAUUAAAUCCCAUGACUCUGAUGGAUUAAUUAUUUUACAAACAAAACUAGUGAGCCCGCAAGAGGGAAGAGAUAUGGGAACAUAUGUAUAUGUAUAACUGAUUCACUUUGUUAUAAAGCAGAAACUAACAUACCAUUGUAAAGCAAUUAUACUCCAAUAAAGAUGUUAAAAAAAAAAAAAAACAACUAGUGAGCCCACGUUUGCACUAAAUUAGCAAACGGUGCCAGGCCCACCGAUGACUGAACUUCCGGGAUGGCUGAGAGUGGAAGGUGGCGACCCCUGCUCGCAGCCCCGACACACACAGGCGAGAGUCACCUCCAAUUUUGUCCAGUUUUUUAAGUACAAUUUUGAAGAUUGUUUUGUGUUGUUAAAGCAUUCUUAUAAAGUCUGUGUGUUGAACUGCAUUUGUGAGAACAGAACGAGUUCCAGUUCCCUUAUUUUUCUUUAAUACUUUCUUUCUGUUGUCACCAUUUAUAUUCUUUAUAUGUCUUGAUUAAAGCUAAUUAAUCAACCAUGUGGUGGGCAAUUUGGGGGCAAUUUGGAGUUUUUUUCUUUCCUGUGCAAUUUUGAGGUAGCAAGGUUGACAU